CCUAUGUAAACACCUAAAUGCCAAGUCUGGACUUCAAAAACAGAUUCUGAAAGUUUAACCAGCAUUAUGGACAAAAAGUAUACACUUCGAACAGACACAAAAACAUAUAGGUCCAUGCCAAGCUAUGAAAGAUUUAUGCUGAGGAUGAAAGGGAAUUGCAGAAGAAUGAAUUGAUGUUAACAUCUCAACAUUAAAAUUGGCUUAAAUUUGAA